rnacentral:sRNA from 1 species
AAAGGCGAACGAACCGAGUUUCUGGAGGAGGCCCGGACGAUGGUUCAACUCCAUCAGCCCAACCUCGUCAACAUUUACGGCGUGUGCACCG